CUUGAACCCGGGAGGCGGAGGUUGCAGUGAGCCGAGAUCGUGCCACUGGACUCUAGCCUGGGUGACAGAGCAAGACUCCAACUUGAAAAAAAAAAAAGCUGAGGAAAGAAAGAUAUUAUUUUAGCACGUUAUUAUUACUGAUGUCACUUCCUCCUUCUUUGUUUCUUUUGCCUUUUUCUCAUAUGAAACAUCAUGUCAUUCCUAAAGAGGAGAAACUCACAGGUCAAAAAUGUAAGGCUUUCUCUGUGUCUGAGAGGAAAAUGUUGUCAUUUAAAAUAAAAUACCUCCUAC
rnacentral:lncRNA from 1 species